AUUUAAAUUACCUAGAGAUCUUGUUAAAAUGCAGAUUCUAGUUCCAUAGUUCUGGGGUGAGGCCUAAGAAUUUUUAUUUCUAACAAGCUCUCAGGUGAUGCUGCU
rnacentral:pre_miRNA from 1 species